UACGGAGGGGGCAAGCGUUGUUCGGAAUUACUGGGCGUAAAGCGCGCGUAGGCGGUUGGGUAAGUCAGAUGUGAAAGCCCCCAGCUCAACUGGGGAACUGCGUCUGAUACUGCUCGGCUUGAGUCCGAUAGGGGAUGGCAGAAUUCCCGGUGUAGCGGUGGAAUGCGUAGAUAUCGGGAGGAAUACCGAUGGCGAAGGCGGCCAUCUGGGUCGGUACUGACGCUGAGGCGCGAAAGCUAGGGGAGCAAACAGG
rnacentral:rRNA from 1 species